CGACCGCUGGCGGCGUGCCUACUACAUGCACGUAGAACGCUGAAGAGAGGAGCUUGCUCUUCUUGGAUGAGUUGCGAACGGGUGAGUAACGCGUAGGUAACCUGCCUUGUAGCGGGGGAUAACUAUUGGAAACGAUAGCUAAUACCGCAUAACAAUGGAUGACACAUGUCAUUUAUUUGAAAGGGGCAAUUGCUCCACUACAAGAUGGACCUGCGUUGUAUUAGCUAGUAGGUGAGGUAAUGGCUCACCUAGGCGACGAUACAUAGCCGACCUGAGAGGGUGAUCGGCCACACUGGGACUGAGACACGGCCCAGACUCCUACGGGAGGCAGCAGUAGGGAAUCUUCGGCAAUGGGGGCAACCCUGACCGAGCAACGCCGCGUGAGUGAAGAAGGGUUUCGGAUCGUAAAGCUCGGUUGUAAGUCAAGAACGGGUGUGAGAGUGGAAAGUUCACACUGUGACGGUAGCUUACCAGAAAGGGACGGCUAACUACGUG
rnacentral:rRNA from 1 species